GUCUACAGCCACACCACCAUGAACACACCAAGUCUCACCUGAUCUUGGAAGCUAAGCAAGGUCGGCCUGGUUAGUACUUGGAUGGGAGAGUUCAAGGCCAGCCU
rnacentral:rRNA from 1 species